rnacentral:rRNA from 1 species
UACGUAGGGGGCAAGCGUUGUCCGGAUUUAUUGGGCGUAAAGAGCGUGUAGGCGGUCAGGUAGGUCCGUUGUGAAAACUCGAGGCUCAACCUCGAGACGCCGAUGGAAACCAUCUGACUAGAGUCCGGUAGGGGAGCGUGGAAUUCCUGGUGUAGCGGUGAAAUGCGCAGAUAUCAGGAGGAACACCAGCGGCGAAGGCGGCGCUCUGGGCCGGAACUGACGCUGAGGAGCGAAAGCGUGGGUAGCAAACAGG